rnacentral:rRNA from 1 species
UGUCUUCUAAAUAAAGACCGGUAUGAAUGGCUAAAUGAGGACAAACCUGUCUCUUGCAACUAAUCAGUGAAACUGAUCUCCCGGUCCAAAAGCCGGGAUAAACCCAUAAGACGAGAAGACCCUGUGGAGCUUUAAACAAACUACCAUGCACCCACCAACACUGCGACUAGUAGGGAGUUUUAAGUUGGGGCGACUUCGGAACUAAAAAAAACUUCCGAGCAUAGAACCACCCGUUCUUACCAAGACCAACAAGUCAAAGUCAAAAAAUGACCCAGUAACACUGAUCAACGAACCAAGUUACCCCAGGGAUAACAGCGCCAUCUUCUUCAAGAGUUCAUAUCGACAAGAAGGUUUACGACCUCGAUGUUGGAUCAGGACACCCCAAUGGUGCAGCCGCUAUUAAAGGUUCGUUUGUUCAACGAUUAAUAGU